AACGAACGCUGGCGGCAUGACUAACACAUGCAAGUCGAACGAGACCUUCGGGUCUAGUGGCGCACGGGUGCGUAACGCGUGGGAACCUGCCCUUAGGUUCGGAAUAACUCCCCGAAAGGGGUGCUAAUACCGGAUAAUGUCUUCGGACCAAAGAUUUAUCGCCUUUGGAUGGGCCCGCGUUGGAUUAGCUAGUUGGUAGGGUAAAAGCCUACCAAGGCGACGAUCCAUAGCUGGUCUGAGAGGAUGAUCAGCCACACUGGGACUGAGACACGGCCCAGACUCCUACGGGAGGCAGCAGUGGGGAAUAUUGGACAAUGGGCGAAAGCCUGAUCCAGCAAUGCCGCGUGAGUGGUGAAGGCCUUAGGGUUGUAAAGCUCUUUUACCCGGGAUGAUAAUGACAGUACCGGGAGAAUAAGCUCCGGCUAACUCCGUG
rnacentral:rRNA from 1 species